rnacentral:rRNA from 1 species
GACGAACGCUGGCGGCGUGCUUAACACAUGCAAGUCGAGCGAUGAGAUCACUUCGGUGAAGGAUUAGCGGCGAACGGGUGAGGAACACGUGAAGAAUCUGCCUUCAACUCUGGGAUAACUCCGGGAAACCGGGGCUAAUACCGGAUAUGAGCCUUGAUCGCAUGAUCGGGGCUGGAAAGUUUUUCGGUUGAAGAUGACUUCGCGGCCUAUCAGCUUGUUGGUGAGGUAAUGGCUCACCAAGGCGACGACGGGUAGCCGGCCUGAGAGGGCGACCGGCCACACUGGGACUGAGACACGGCCCAGACUCCUACGGGAGGCAGCAGUGGGGAAUAUUGGGCAAUGGACGAAAGUCUGACCCAGCGACGCCGCGUGCGGGAUGAAGGCCUUCGGGUUGUAAACCGCUUUCAGCAGGGAAUAAGCGCAAGUGAAGGUACCUGCAGAAGAAGCACCGGCUAACUAUGUGCCAGCAGCCGCGGUAAUACAUAGGGUGCAAGCGUUGUCCGGAAUUAUUGGGCGUAAAGAGCUCGUAGGUGGUUUGUUACGUCGGUUGUGAAAUUCAGGGGCUCAACCCCUGACUUGCAGCCGAUACGGGCAAGCUAGAGUUUGGUAGGGGAGACUGGAAUUCCUGGUGUAGCGGUGGAAUGCGCAGAUAUCAGGAGGAACACCGAUGGCGAAGGCAGGUCUCUGGGCCAAUACUGACA